rnacentral:misc_RNA from 1 species
UUGACGAAUCCGAGGAUCUCAUGUCCUUAGACCCACCCAUUAUAGUUUUCCUCGACGGCAUCGUCGAGACGGAGAGUUACUCUCCGGUACGAUCUCGACGACGAUUCAAGUAACUAUCGGAUACGUAGUGAUUGCCCCACGCAUUAACAUUGAGUACAACUUAGACGCUAAAGAAGAGUAGAGUUCGUCAUUCCGUUGACCGUGGAUUCGUUAUUGAGCCUAGGAUCAUCGUCAUUAGCUUCUCGAGUAUCAAAUUAUCGCGAUUACUUGUCCAAUUCCAUCAUGGUCAUGUUUGCACUGGUGAGUUCUGGGACUUGAAACACUCGAGAUUAGAAAUUUUGAUUAAUGUUUCACAUUAUCACUGGACGCUUGUUGUAAUAUCUUUUGUACGAGAUACACUAUACAUACACAAGAUCAAAAUGGAAUUUCGAAACGGUCGUAUCUUUCAACAAAAAUCUCUUUUAUCUUUGAUCCUCUUCAUAAAAAUGCAAUUCUCCUUUACAGAACAUCAUAUAACAUUUAUUGUACGAUAUAUUGUUCCAAUAUAUUUCGAAAUU